rnacentral:lncRNA from 1 species
UUUUCUAGCUCCUGUUGUAAACUAGGAGUUGGGAAUAGAUUCGAAAGAUGUAGAAUCCUCAGAGUUCUUCUUAAGGCUAGGUAAAUCCCGCUCAUAGAGGUAUCAGUUUUAGAGUCGUACUAAUCUGCUUAUCCUAGGAACUCCUUGCUUUCGUAGCUAUUUUAGACAAGAACCGUGGGACUCUCAUCAAAGGAUUAGCUUGGUUGGUAGCCUUGGUUCUAUCUCUUCUUGUUCUUGCUAGGAGUUCGAGUUCUUUAUCAGAGAUCUAGGAAAGAAGCAAGGAAAGAUAGCUCUAAAUAGAGUCGUUUUCCUGUCCUACUAGUUAAUCCAGGAAUAAGCUGGGAAAUUCCUACUUUUCUUCUAGCUUUUGAAGUUCUCCUAGAGAGGAAACAUGCACAACUAGGAGUAAAUGGAUCCUUUCUGGCGUCACUGACUUACUUGUUAGUUUACCAGAUUGUCUUGAUGUUCCGUGUACCGUAAUUUCCCUUUCCUAGUCAGAGUGGAAUUUCAUCCAAUAUAGCUCUUUAUAUAAGGCAUUUGGAAUCGAAGAAUUCAAACAGGAAUUUCUCAUACCACCAAUCUAGCUAAAGAGCAUUCCCUUACCUACACAGCAUUCCACAGUGAUCCGUACCUUGACCUUGAACCAGAACUCGCUUAAGGAAGAACGGAAAAAGGACUAGUCCAAAGAAGGUUUUAAACGGCAUCUGAAGGACUUCUCAAUUGAUGCUAUGGUUCUUCUAAGGAGGAAAGGAAGACACACAAGCCAAGCGAAAAGGUUUCAGCCUAGGUAAGGGAGAAGUAAAGGUCCCAGGUAAAGAGCUAGGGAUAUAGGACACCUAUAGUACAGAUAUCGGUACAAAUACCGUUUAUCCAAUGCCAGGGAACUAACAGUUAUAGUAUCAUACCAGUGAAAUACCUGAGUUAAUCGCUACUACCACUUGACUUGGUCGGUGCAUUCCAAGUUAUUUGUAUAAGGGAAGCCCUCUUACUUUUAUAACACCUAGGGAUCAUCUCUGGUUAUGUGAAGAGUUCUUUUU